UAUUGAAAUUACCGGCGAGGGUUGUAGCUGGCCUUUCGGGGCAUGUGCACGCCCGAGCCUUUAAUCCAACAUACACCUGUGAACCCAAUGUAAGGGCCCGUAAAAAGGCCCCUACNUCUUUAUCACCAACUCUGUAUUCAUAGAAUGUAAUCCAUAUCUUCGCCUUAACAAGCGUUGGUAAAACUUAUACAACUUUCAACAACGGAUCUCUUGGCUCUCGCAUCGAUGAANAACGCANCGAAAUGCGAUAAGUAAUGUGAAUUGCAGAUUUUCAGUGAAUCAUCNAAUCUUUGAACGCACCUUGCGCCCCUUGGUAUUCCGAGGGGCAUGCCUGUUUGAGUGUCAUUAAAUUCUCAACUCCGAUUUGAUUUGUUUCUUAUCGGAGCUUGGACUUUGGAGCGUGCUGGCGUAAGGUCGGCUCCUCUUAAAUGUAUCAGCGGAAUCUAACCUUUGGAUUCUGGACAUCGGUGUGAUAAUAAAAGUUGCGCCGUCGUUCUACUUCAAAGUCCGCUUACAAUGGNCUUUUGACAAACUCUUAUCAAAUUUGACCUCAAAUCAGGUAGGACUACCCGCUGAACUUAAGCAUAU
rnacentral:rRNA from 1 species